AUGCUUGUCGAAACCCCUAGAAAUGGUAAGGCGCGCAAGAGAAGAACAGUUCGAUGGACAAAACCAAAUCCUAGAAGCCGCCAAGAAGACCGAACACCGGACUGGAACUAUGGAAAUAGGGUUCAAACCCAUCCUCGAACACCACCAAACCCCUCUUCUUCCUCUCGCCCUCCCUCUCCCUCCUCCAGCGUUCUCUCCCGCGAGUACCGCAAAGGCAACUGGACCGUCCAGGAAACCCUCAUUCUCAUCACCGCAAAACGCCUCGACGACGACCGCCGCAGCCGAGGCGGCGCCACCACCUCUUCCGACGACCCCUCCACCGCUCCGCGCUCCGCCGAACAACGAUGGAAGUGGGUCGAGAACUAUUGCUGGAAACAGGGUUGUCUUCGCAGUCAAAACCAGUGCAACGACAAGUGGGACAAUCUACUACGCGACUACAAGAAGGUCCGAGACUAUGAAUCCCGCGCGGCCGCCGCCGCCGCAGCUGCCUCGCCCACCUCCUAUUGGUCCCUCGAGCGGCACGAGCGCAAGGAGCGCAACCUCCCUACCAAUCUCGCCUUCGAAGUCUACGAAGCGCUCACCGACGUCCUCAGCCGCCGGGCCACUCUCCGUGCAGGCGGCGGCGCAGCUGCUGCUCCUCAUCCUCGACCUCUGACUCUUCCUCCUCCUCCUCCUCGUCCGCCGCCGCCAGCCCAGGCCUCCGUUUCCGUUACCUUUUGAGCUGAUGAAUUUGAUUUGAUGUUGUGGCUCAGGGGAAAUGACGCCGGAGGGGUCGUCUGAGACGGAGGGUUGCGGCGGAGGUAGCGACGGUAGCCCGUCGCCGCCUCCGGGAGGGAAGCGGAGGCGGGGUUUGGGGUCGAGCGUGGUGCGUGGAGCGGCGGAGCUCGCUCGGGCGCUGGUUGCGUGCGAGGAGAGGAAGGAGAGGCGGCACAGGGAUUUAAUGGAGCUGGAGGAGCGGCGGCUGAGAAUGGAAGAAAACCGGACGGAGAUGAACCGGCAGGCCGUCGCCGGCCUUAUCAACGCCGUGAAUGGCCUCUCUGCGGCCGUACAUUCGCUUGUCGCCGACCAUCGCGGCGGCCACGGCCGAUGA